CGGGGGACCCCGGCCCUGAGGGUUGGGGGGGGGGGGGAACCGGCGCCCUGGCAGGCCGGGGAGAGGGGUCGGCCUGCCUUGGCGGGCGGCCCUCGCUGGAAUGCUAAAAAUGCGCUAAUUGUGCCCUGCCAGCGGCCGCCGUGCCUCAGGGCUUAGAGGUAACCAUCUCGGGGGAAAUAAAGGCGCCUAGCGAUCGAUAGCCGGCGGCCCGGGCCCGCUUCUCGCCCCACCGCCGCCACCCCGGCCGCUGGGUCCGGCGGCAGCUCCUGGAGGUGCCUGGUGUGGCCCCGAUCGCUGCAAUCUGAAGUUCGAACAAAAAGGUCCCCAUGGAAACCGGGGAGUCAUCUAUCAGCACCGCGUUCGCCAAGUUCUUCCACGUUUUCGGGGAGAGCUCUGCCGAGCCGCCCGACCUCUCUCCCCGCGCGCCCGUGUGCGUGAGGCCUAAAACAAAGCGACCAUGUCAAAGCGCUCCUCGACAAGAUGGGAGGGCUCUCUGCAGGCACAAGUAUUUCGGAGGCUACUUCGUUAUUUCUUCCAGAAACAGCCAGCCGUUCCUUCGUUAUCAGUGGAAACGCUCCGUUCGGAUCAGACGUGGCGAACUUUUUUGGUGUGAUGUCUCCGGGUAUCGAAUUCACCGACUUCUGGUUUGGAACUGCGGGGACAUUUUGUGUAACGGAGGGCUCAGGAAGAUUCAAAAUUUAAAUUUUGUCCUCGUUAGCCAAAGUACCUUCCUGAAGUCCCGAGUCGAGAAUGAC